rnacentral:rRNA from 1 species
GAUGAACGCUGGCGGCGUGCCUAAUACAUGCAAGUCGAGCGAACAGAUCAGGAGCUUUCUCCUCUGACUUUAUCGGCGGUCGGGUGAUUCACACGUGGUUAACCUACCUCUAAGACUGGGAUACUUUCGGGAAACCGUAUCUAAUACCCGAUAAUUUAUUGACCCUCAUUGUUCACUCGUUAAAUACGGUUUUGCUUUCACUUAUAGAUGGAUCCGCGCCGCAUUAGCUAGUUGGGUAGGUAACGGCUUACCAAAGCAACGAUGCGUAGCCGACCUGAGAGGGUGAUCGGACAGACGGGAAGUGAGGAAGAGUAGAGACACCGAGAGGAGGAAGCAGUAGAGAAUCCUACGCAAGGGGGGAGAGGGGGACAGAGCAAAGUCGCGUGAGGGAUGAAGGAGUUAGGAUCGGAAAACGAUGUUAGUAGGGAAGAACAAAUGUGUAAGUAACUAGGAACGUAUUGACGGUACCGAAUCAAAAAGCCACGGCUAACUACGUG